rnacentral:rRNA from 1 species
AGUUUGAUCCUGGCUCAGGAUGAACGCUAGCUACAGGCUUAACACAUGCAAGUCGAGGGGCAGCAUUGGAGUAGCAAUACUUCAGAUGGCGACCGGCGCACGGGUGAGUAACACGUAUCCAACCUGCCGCUUACUCGGGGAUAGCCUUUCGAAAGAAAGAUUAAUACCCGAUGGUAUAAAGAGUUCGCAUGUUCUCUUUAUUAAAGAAUUUCGGUAAGCGAUGGGGAUGCGUUCCAUUAGAUUGUUGGCGGGGUAACGGCCCACCAAGUCUACGAUGGAUAGGGGUUCUGAGAGGAAGGUCCCCCACAUUGGAACUGAGACACGGUCCAAACUCCUACGGGAGGCAGCAGUGAGGAAUAUUGGUCAAUGGACGCGAGUCUGAACCAGCCAAGUAGCGUGAAGGAUGACUGCCCUAUGGGUUGUAAACUUCUUUUAUAAGGGAAUAAAGUGAGGGACGUGUCCCUUUUUGUAUGUACCUUAUGAAUAAGGAUCGGCUAACUCCGUGCCAGCAGCCGCGGUAAUACGGAGGAUCCGAGCGUUAUCCGGAUUUAUUGGGUUUAAAGGGAGCGUAGGUUGACAUAUAAGUCAGCUGUGAAAGUUUACGGCUCAACCGUGAAAUUGCAGUUGAUACUGUAUGUCUUGAGUGUACAAGAGGUGGGCGGAAUUCGUGGUGUAGCGGUGAAAUGCUUAGAUACCACGAAGAACUCCAAUUGCGAAGGCAGCUCACUGGGGUACAACUGACACUGAGGCUCGAAAGUGUGGGUAUCAAACAGGAUUAGAUACCCUGGUAGUCCACACAGUAAACGAUGAAUACUCGCUGUUUGCGAUAUACAGUAAGCGGCCAAGCGAAAGCAUUAAGUAUUCCACCUGGGGAGUACGCCGGCAACGGUGAAACUCAAAGGAAUUGACGGGGGCCCGCACAAGCGGAGGAACAUGUGGUUUAAUUCGAUGAUACGCGAGGAACCUUACCCGGGCUUGAAUUGCAGAGGAACAUAGUUGAAAGAUUAUGGCCGCAAGGUCUCUGUGAAGGUGCUGCAUGGUUGUCGUCAGCUCGUGCCGUGAGGUGUCGGCUUAAGUGCCAUAACGAGCGCAACCCUUAUCAUUAGUUACUAACAGGUCAUGCUGAGGACUCUAGUGAGACUGCCGUCGUAAGAUGUGAGGAAGGUGGA